AGUCUCCGCUUUGAAUUGAUUUGAAAAACCGAUUUUUUUGAAAAAAUCAGCCAUCCCUAGUAUGUAGUGCCGCGUGAUACUGUCAUAAGAACUAAAUCAAAAAGAAUUUUAUUUUCGUUGAUCUCGUCAUAUAUUACAAAAUUAGUUAGUCCGGUGUCAAUAAAAGAAUGCGAUACAACAAAGAGUGGUGUCCAGUCAAGAUUGAUAAGGCGUUUUCAGAAUCAAAAAACGUCUUACCUCGUAUGAUGGGAAUAUGUUAUUUAUUUGCUGGAAUUGAUUUCUACGACCUUGGAAGUCAUAAUUCAUAAAGGUGCGAUUUCACGAACCGCUCGAAUCAGCCGUUUCGAGCGAGAAAUUUGUCGCUCUUACUUUAGCGGCUAAAAUUUUUGUAGAUGGAACAGUUCCAACUACAAGCGUUUGACGCUGAAACGCUCUGCGAUGUGAACAGUGCUACCGCGAAGUCGAUAUCGCAAUACAUAACCUUCAUUUCGGUUUGUUUCUUUAAUAAGCGUCAUGUAACCUAAGAUCCGAAUUCAUAGUCGUUUCUUAAUUUCAGAAUAAGUUUGAGAACGUUUAUGAAUUCGGAUCUAUACAACAGAUUCACAACGCUUUUUUUUUUAAAGUUAGUUGGAAACCAUUCGUCGAACAUGUAUCAUUUGGAAAAACCUUUACAACAAUCUACAAACGAAAAUGUAGAAAUAAAUAUAGUUGCAACUUGUGGGUUAUGUGAAACCAUAUGCGACAUGAAUGAGCAGAUGGAACUAUAUUAAGGCGUAGUUUAGUUAACGAUUCAGAAAUUAUAGUUCAAGAAGAUUUGGAAUCAACGAAUAAAAGAAAAAACAUAAGAAAAAAGUUAAAUAUCGCAGAAAAGGAGAAUUUGCUGCAAAUCGAGGAACAAUUAAUUUUAGAAGUUCAUGCACGCGAAGCUUUGUGGAAUUCACAAAUUGAUUUAUCUUGUCGCAUCAGAAAAGCGGUUGCACAAUUAUGGAAAGAAGUUUCCGAAGCCUUAAAUGGCAAACUGUCAGAUAUCGAGGCUAAAACCAAGUUCAAAUCACUGCAUGAUACAUACAGAAGAAUUAUUAGUAGUGAAUCAUUAGCGAGUGGAUCCGAAAGACCCGCUAAGAAAAGCAAGUGGCAACAUUACGAUAAUUUAUCAUUUUUGCGUGAUUCUUGUUUGCAAAAAACAACCAAAUCAAAUGUGUCAAUAAACACGGAAGAUUCAACAGAUACUAAUUUUGAAGAUGCAGAAGAAUCAAUUGACAUUACUAUUGAAGAUUGGAAACAAAAUAGAUAGCAAAAACGCAAUAGGAAAGGCAAGAAUAAAAAGGGAGACAAUUCUACAGCAAUUAAUAGAAUUGCUGAUGCUUUUUGCCAAAGAAAUAUGCAGCCACCGAUUACUUUGCCUGCUCCUCCACAAGACGAUGAUGUGGACGCAAUUGUGUCUGUAGUUGAGAGACGAUUAAGGAAACUUCCACCACAAGUGUUAGAUGAUGCAGCACAAAGAAUUUUUCAGUUUACUUACGAUCUCGUAAAAGAUUUAUCAAAUACUUAGUAAUUAUUACUUAAAGUUUUUGUUUUGAAAAGUUUAAAGCACAAAGUUUUAUUUAAUGUUUGUUUUUAAAUGCUUUAAUUAUGUUAAGCAUGUCUUAUUUUAUACUUUUGUACUUUAUACUAUUAAAUUACGAGUUAUAUACGAGUUAUGUAUUACAAGAAUAAAAAGUUGGUAUUUAAAAAAACUAAACGUUUUAUCGAAGUCAUUUAUUUUAACAUUUAUAGAAAAUGAAUAAUAUAAAAAGAAUAUGAAACAUACAUUUGGGUCUACAUAGAAUCUUUUUUUUUUAUAAAAUAAGCUAAUAAAAUAAAAACUAAUUAAAAAUGAACUAAGAAAAUCCUAUUAAAUUUUUUAUAUGUACUAACAAAUUACUUUGUGUAUUUUACAAUUAAACAUAAUCAUCUUGCCAUGGUACAGAUCCGUCAUUAUUAAAAUAUUCGCUAAAAUUUUCUCGCACUUCCAUACUUUUCUGAGUACUCAUAUAUGCCCCUGCUCUUUGUACCUCACGAUAAGCAGAACCGUUUUCAACAACCAUUCUCCAAGAACCAGGUGUAAAACCAUUAGGACCAUCAUGAUCGAUCAUACUUGUAUUCAUUUUUGUUUAUGUCCUGUUUUCGUAACCAAUUAUGCAAACACACAAUGCUUUGCACAAUUCUUUCAACAGUUUCUACUUUGCCAAUUAUUGGCUUUCUCAGUAUUCGCCAUUGACAGGCAAGAAUACCAAAUGUAUUUUCAAUCACUCGUCUGGCACGACUUAGUCGAUAAUUGAAUAUAUUUUUUUCUUUAGUCAGCCCGCCCCUUCCUGAGUAUGGUCGAAGCAAAUAUUCUUUUAAAGGAAAUGCUUCAUCUCCAACAAGGCAAUACGGCAAUUUGGGACCAUUUCUAGAAAUAUCCUCUGCUUCUGCACCGAUACAGUGAGGGAAAUCGCAUCGUUGAUCAAAGUCUGCUGCAAUAUUUUUUCAAUCUUUUUUCGAUAAAGAAGGUGGAAGGACAAUUGGGCAUAACUCAUUCCAAA